UCGAUUAGUUUGAUCAUGGCUCAGAUUGAACGCUGGCGGCAUGCCUUACACAUGCAAGUCGAACGGCAGCGCGGGGCAACCUGGCGGCGAGUGGCGAACGGGUGAGUAAUAUAUCGGAACGUACCCUGGAGUGGGGGAUAACGUAGCGAAAGUUACGCUAAUACCGCAUACGAUCUAAGGAUGAAAGCAGGGGACCGCAAGGCCUUGUGCUCCUGGAGCGGCCGAUAUCUGAUUAGCUAGUUGGUGGGGUAAAGGCCUACCAAGGCAUCGAUCAGUAGCUGGUCUGAGAGGACGACCAGCCACACUGGAACUGAGACACGGUCCAGACUCCUACGGGAGGCAGCAGUGGGGAAUUUUGGACAAUGGGCGCAAGCCUGAUCCAGCAAUGCCGCGUGAGUGAAGAAGGCCCUCGGGUUGUAAAGCUCUUUUGUCAGGGAAGAAACGGUGGAGGCUAAUAUCCUUUGCUAAUGACGGUACCUGAAGAAUAAGCACCGGCUAACUACGUGCCAGCAGCCGCGGUAAUACGUAGGGUGCAAGCGUUAAUCGGAAUUACUGGGCGUAAAGCGUGCGCAGGCGGUUUUGUAGUCUGUCGUGAAAUCCCCGGGCUCAACCUGGGAAUUGCGAUGGAGACUGCAAGGCUAGAAUCUGGCAGAGGAGGGUAGAAUUCCACGUGUAGCAGUGAAAUG
rnacentral:rRNA from 1 species